CUUCUGUGUUCUACAAUGCCCGCAUUCUCCACUAGUGUGAGUCUUCUAAGCUGGGACAGGCAGAACGCAAACACGGGGAGGCUGAGAUGGUGCCAAAAACAGUGCUAUUUAUUUACAAUGAAGAGCUGGAAAGUGGGUGUAAGGAAGAGGAGGGAGAGUGGGGGAAGUGCUGUCUUGCGAGGUGCGAUGUGGGGGCUGGAGCUGCCAUGAAGAAAGACCCAGGAGCCGUCAAGGAGGCUGAGGAUGGUCGAGAGGCAUAGUGUAGCCGGGGAGUUUCUUUUCCGCUGUCCUUGUUGUCAUCUUCCACGUUGGCCUCUACAAUGAGAGAGAGCGAGAGAGACACACACAAUAGUGUGCAUGUGCUCAGAGCAUGAACUCACUGGGGCCGCCGCUCCCUUUUAUAGUAGCCUCUCUUUGGCUGGAUGUUGUGUGUAUUUCUGCCACCCCACCUUGUAGUCAUGUGCACUCUUGCUGUCUAAAACAAGUGGCGCUGUCCCUUCAGCACCUCGCCAGCAGUUGUGCAAGGAGUGCACUUCUUGUAGUGUGUGUGAGCUGCAUGCCGUGACAGUCCUGUAUAAGUUUUGUGUGAAUCCAAGCAAGCAAUAAUGAGUUACAACUGUACAUUUUAGUAAAUAAUCCUAGGAUUUUCACACACACACACACACACACUUUAAUCAGAUACAAAGUUACUAAUAACUUGCUACUUGAGUAGUCUUCUCAUUGGAUACUUUAUUACUCUUACUCAAGUAAAUAUUAACAUUAUUACUUUUAAUAUUAAUUGAGUAAUUAUUUUUAUAAGUAGUUUUAAGUAGUUUUAUGUCUCAAUCAGCUCCCUAGGUCGUGAAUCAACAUAUCAUGUACGUUAGUUCGGGCUCCGUUACAGACCCUGGCUCACUACACUCUGGGACACUGAUAACUCAAUUUCCAGUGACAUGUCUAUGUAAUUGUGUUAAAAAAUGUCAGAAAAAAUUAACAACUUUAAAAUAUUUCAGCUUUACAUGUCAUAUAAAUUUGUUAGCUUAAUCACACACAUUUCUGUCAUGGUACAUCAAGCAGGAUACUAGACUAGCUAAUGGAUUUUUUAAAAAAUAAUUAAACACUUAAGUCAUUAGACUCAAACAAACCAUGUAUAGAACAUCAAAUAAAAAGUUAAAAACAAGUAAUCCUUUGAGAACUACAGUAACAAGCUAGUUACAUUUAUAGAAACAGUUGGCUGAGAGUUUGCCCCCCUUUUUUUUAGCUGAAAGGUUUCAGAAAACAUGACAUCAUUUCCAGUAAGGGAAUAUAGUAAGCAUUUGUGCUCCCUGGUUUUUGUUGUACAUUGUGAGAUUUUUCAGGGAACAAACAUUGCAGAGCACUUGAAUGAUUUUGUGAUUGAGACAGCUCUUAAAAUGGCCAACUCCCUUAUCAGUGCCCUUACUACUGAACUAGGGAGCUGGUUGAGACAUACCCCAAGUUUCCUGUCUGUAGAACCUAUGGUUAGGUCUGCACAAUCAGUUUUCGUGGAGAAAAAAAAGGAGUAGUAGUAGAAGGAGGAGGAGAAGAAGAAGCAGAAGAAAAGGCGCAGACUGUUGAAAGUGCCCAUGCUGACCAUCGUGUUCUGCAAAAAGGGGCAUGUGAGCAUUAGAACUGAACCAGAAGAAAAGAUGAUGACCUGGUCUGAUGAAUCAUGUUUCCUUUUUUACAUCAUGUGGAUGGACUGGUGUGUGUGUGUUGCUUACCUGGGGGAAGAGAUGGCACCAGGAUGCACUAUGGGGAGAAUGAAAACCAGUGUGAUGCUCUAGGCAAUGUUCUGCUGGGUACACUGACACUUACCACCUAUCUAAAUAUCAUUAGAGUGGGAAGCAACUGCGGUAAUGAUCGGACAACAGAUUCUUCUCAGGAAUUGGAGGAACCGGCAAGUCCCGCAUCGGAGAAAUGGAUUAUUGAAUUCAGAAAGGUUGCAGCUUCCAUAAAGGAUGCAUAAUAAGGAACAGAAAUACCUGUCAAAGUGGGACAGAUUUCACACAUGGUGAUAUACAGUGGAUGAUGAGUUAUGAUGGAAUAUGUCCUUGGAGGGGCUAAGCUGUACAUAUUUUGUAUGUUUUCGGUGUACAUAUGUUAAUAGUCAUACAUUGUAAAGGCAGUCAAGAGCCAUGCUUUCCAUACUACAGAGAAGUUUUAAGUUGUAAGGAUUUCCUCAAAUGGUUUGGAUAGGAACCUGGAGGAACUUCGCACAGGACUUCAGAAUCUCAUCCUAUAUAGGAUUUUCUAUUUUCUACUUGAGAAUCCACUUGGAAUUAAUGAGGAACAGCUGUUUAAGUAAAUUAAGCUCUGCCUUUUUAAGAAUAGAUUGACAUGUGCUGGCCAUAUUGGUUAAAAAACGUAAAGUUUUUUAGAUAAUUCUCGAGGUUGAUACUUUGCUGAAUAGUUUUACGCCGAAUUUGUGAGGACUGCACAAGAAUUCUAUAAUUAGUUUACAAAAGUUAACAUAUUAUGCAAAUUAGCAAAAAAAAUCUAUGUUGGUGGAGCUAAAUGGUUCUUUUUGUAUCAGUAGAAUCAGCCUGAGUACUUGGAGCCCUAAUAAAAAUAAAAAAUAAUAAAAUAAAAUGUCAAAUAUGUCAGUAAAGAAAGUAACAUAGUACAUAAUAGACCACAAAACAUGAUGAAGGCUGUCAGGGACUACGUGCAAGUCUCCAAAAAAACAAUGGCAGCUUCUCCAAGAUGCUUAGCAAAAAAUACCGGCCAGUAUUCUUUUUAAACUGUAUGAAGUGUACCUAAGACUACUGAUGCAUUUGUAAAGGCAUUUUAAAGGCAAAUCUUGACUUUGUUUAGUUUAUUACUGCUCUAUCUAUGCUCACCCUCCACUUUACUAGGAAAACCUGCACAUUCAUGCACGUACCUAUUCAGCCAAUCAGUUGGCAGCAAAACAAUGUAAAAAAAAUCAUGCAGAUACAGGUCAAUAGCUACCGCUAUUGUUCACAUCAAAGAUCAUAAAUGUGAUCUCAGUGACUUUAACCAUGGCAUGGUUUUUGGUAGCAGAUGGGCUGGUUUGAGUACUUCAGAAACUGCUGAUCUCUUGGGAUUUUUGCACAUAACAGUUUACACAAAAUGGUGUGAAAAACAUAAAACAUCCUGUGUGUGGAGGGUCUGCAGGCUACAGAGGAGAAUGACCAGACUGGUCUGAGCUGAUAGGAACUCAGUCAACGGAAGUCAUAGUAAUUCAAAUCAGCACUCUUUGCAACUGUGGUGAGCAGAAAAGCAUCUCAGAAUGCACAAAAGAUCAAACCUUGAGGUGGAUGGGCUACAAUUGCAG
ensembl:lncRNA